rnacentral:rRNA from 1 species
UGAGGAAUAUUGGUCAAUGGGGGCAACCCUGAACCAGCCAAGUCGCGUGAAGGAUGAAGGUCUUAUGGAUUGUAAACUUCUUUUAUACAGGAAUAAAUUGGGGGACGUGUCCCCUUUUGCAUGUACUGUAUGAAUAAGGAUCGGCUAACUCCGUGCCAGCAGCCGCGGUAAUACGGAGGAUCCGAGCGUUAUCCGGAUUUAUUGGGUUUAAAGGGUGCGCAGGCGGGAAGUUAAGUCGGCGGUGAAAUUUUGCAGCUCAACUGUAAAAGUGCCUUCGAUACUGGCCUCCUUGAGUGUGGAUGAAGUAGGCGGAAUUUGUGGUGUAGCGGUGAAAUGCUUAGAUAUCACGAGGAACUCCGAUUGCGCAGGCAGCUUACUAAGCCACAACUGACGCUCAUGCACGAAGGCGUGGGGAUCAAACA